rnacentral:rRNA from 1 species
GUGGGGAAUCUUGCGCAAUGGGCGAAAGCCUGACGCAGCCAUGCCGCGUGAAUGAUGAAGGUCUUAGGAUUGUAAAAUUCUUUCACCGGGGACGAUAAUGACGGUACCCGGAGAAGAAGCUCCGGCUAACUUCGUGCCAGCAGCCGCGGUAAUACGAAGGGGGCUAGCGUUGCUCGGAAUUACUGGGCGUAAAGGGCGCGUAGGGGGACAGCUUAGUCAGAGGUGAAAGCCCAGGGCUCAACCUUGGAAUUGCCUUUGAUACUGGCUGUCUUGAGUUUGGGAGGGGUGAGUGGAACUCCGAGUGUAGAGGUGAAAUUCGUAGAUAUUCGGAAGAACACCAGUGGCGAAGGCGACUCACUGGCCCAAUACUGACGCUGAGGCGCGAAAGCGUGGGGAGCAAACAGGAUUAGAAACCCGGGUAGUCC